AGGCAGCAGUUAGGAAUAUUGGACAAUGGGCGAAAGCCUGAUCCAGCCAUGCCGCGUGCGUGAAGAAGGUCUUCGGAUUGUAAAGCACUUUAAGUUGGGAGGAAGGGCAGUAAAUUAAUACUUUGCUGUUUUGACGUUACCGACAGAAUAAGCACCGGCUAACUCUGUGCCAGCAGCCGCGGUAAUACAGAGGGUGCAAGCGUUAAUCGGAAUUACUGGGCGUAAAGCGCGCGUAGGUGGUUUGUUAAGUUGGAUGUGAAAUCCCCGGGCUCAACCUGGGAACUGCAUUCAAAACUGACAAGCUAGAGUAUGGUAGAGGGUGGUGGAAUUUCCUGUGUAGCGGUGAAAUGCGUAGAUAUAGGAAGGAACACCAGUGGCGAAGGCGACCACCUGGACUGAUACUGACACUGAGGUGCGAAAGCGUGGGGCGCAAACAGGAUUAGAUACCCUAGUAGUCC
rnacentral:rRNA from 1 species